GCCUAGCUGGCUCAGUUGGAAGAGCAUGUGGCUCUUGAUCUCAGGGUUGUGAGUUUAAGCCCCACACUGGGUA
rnacentral:tRNA from 1 species